rnacentral:rRNA from 1 species
CGUGCCUAAUACAUGCAAGUCGAACGCAUUGUGGUUGAAAUGAUAUGAAGAACUUGUUCAGAUUUGAUUUCAACAUUGCAAUGAGUGGCGAACGGGUGAGUAACACGUGGGAAACCUACUCUUAGCAGGGGAUAACAUUUGGAAACAAAUGCUAAUACCGUAUAAUAAUUAAAACCGCAUGGUUUUAGUUUAAAAGAUGGUCUUGCUAUCACUAAGAGAUGGUCCCGCGGUGUAUUAGUUAGUUGGUGAGGUAAUGGCUCACCAAGACAAUGAUACAUAGCCGAGUUGAGAGACUGACCGGCCACAAUGGGACUGAGACACGGCCCAUACUCCUACGGGAGGCAGCAGUAGGGAAUCUUCCACAAUGGACGAAAGUCUGAUGGAGCAACGCCGCGUGUGUGAUGAAGGGUUUCGGCUCGUAAAACACUGUUGUAAGAGAAGAAUGACAUUGAGAGUAACUGUUCAAUGUGUGACGGUAUCUUACCAGAAAGGAACGGCUAAAUACGUG